GAUGAACGCUAGCUACAGGCUUAACACAUGCAAGUCGAGGGGCAGCAUUGGGUAGCAAUACUGAGAUGGCGACCGGCGCACGGGUGCGUAACGCGUAUCCAACCUUCCCGUUACUCUCGGAUAGCCUUCCGAAAGGGAGAUUAAUACCUGAUGGUGUUCAAAUUCCGCAUGUUAUUUGAACUAAAGAUUUAUCGGUAACGGAUGGGGAUGCGUGACAUUAGAUAGUAGGCGGGUAACGGCCCACCUAGUCUACGAUGUCUAGGGGUUCUGAGAGGAAGGUCCCCCACACUGGAACUGAGACACGGUCCAGACUCCUACGGGAGGCAGCAGUGAGGAAUAUUGGUCAAUGGGCGAGAGCCUGAACCAGCCAAGUCGCGUGAAGGAUGACUGAUCUAUGGUUUGUAAACUUCUUUUAUAAGGGAAUAAAGUGCAGCACGUGUGCUGUUUUGUAUGUACCUUAUGAAUAAGCAUCGGCUAACUCCGUGCCAGCA
rnacentral:rRNA from 1 species